rnacentral:lncRNA from 1 species
CUUCACUCUUCCAGCUGAUUGGCUGCAGCGGAGUGUGGCUCGGGACAGUAUUGAGACUCGGCCGUCCCCAGAUGUGGGCCUGGGCGUCUGUGCGGUGGGAGAACCAGUGAAACCCGAUCCUGCUCCGGCCUGCUCCUCAGUAUUUUGGGAUGUUUUACACGGGGCAGGACAAAGACACGUUUCCAGGCGGGAGCCCAGUCUGAGCAGAUGCUGGUCCUCCGGGAAAACAAGAAGGAGAAGAAGAAGGAGACGCGACUUUAUUUCUGCAGAAGAAGGAAGAUUCAAAGACGAUAUGGCUGAAGAUGUCCAUGGAUUCUGAUAACUCCUGUGUGUUGCUGUCAUCGCGAGACUCCAGGACGUCCUGUGUCUUUCAGACUGCUGAUGAGAAAGAUGACAUCCCAGCCGGGGGGGAGGAGAGUGUUCUGGAGAUGCUGAGCUACUCCAAGUUCUCUGACCUGGAGACAUGGCUCUGCAUGCCGUCCUCGCUGCUCCUGCCGAGGGCUCUGGACUCUACCUGCACCUCCUCUUCCUCCUCCACCACCUCGUCAUCACAUGCAUCCAAUCACUACUCCAACUCACCCCCGAUCUCCUCCUCCUCCUCCCCGGCCUCCAACUCCCGUCGCUCCGUCUGCAGCGAACCUGGAGAGACAGACACCCUGCUCAGGUCAUCGGAGAGGGAGUCCAGCUUCCUUACCCCUGGACUGGGGAAGGAGCUGCCAUUCCUGUCCUCCCCCCUCCUCCCCAUCCUGUCCUCCACCCCUGCUGCUUCUGUGCUGAGCUCAGGGACACCAGCUGCAAACGCCACCUGCCAGAGCAACGUCAGCAUCCGGAAACGUCGGCGGCUCGCUGCCAGUCCUGGAGGACUCCACUGGAACUCUGCAGGUUCGGUGCAGCGGGACUUCUGGUCACCUGAUCCGUCCCCUGGGUUGCGGGGAAGCGCAGCAGCAGGUAGAGGUGGACGCAGGGGUGCGAGGAGCCUCCCCCUGGCCGAGGGAGGCGGGGCUUCACCGGCGUGGGCCAACGACCGCGCAGGUUUGAGGAAAACGGCUUCGGUCGACGACCGACUUCUGCAGCCGGCAGGAGGAGAGAAGCGACACCUGAGGCUGCUGAGUCGACUGGAGAGAGGCAGGAAGAAUCUCCGAAACAUCCAUGUGAGUCUCCGUCAUUGGCUUGUUUUAGAUGCUACGACUUUUCCUUCUGUUUAUCUUUU